rnacentral:rRNA from 1 species
UAAGACGAACCGUGCGAACGUUGUUCGGAAUCACUGGGCUUAAAGGGCGCGUAGGCGGGCGAUCAAGUCAGGGGUGAAAUCCGUCGGCUUAACCGGCGAAGAGCUUUUGAUACUGGUCGUCUCGAGGGAGGUAGGGGCAUACGGAACUUCCGGUGGAGCGGUGAAAUGCGUAGAGAUCGGAAGGAACGCCGGUGGCGAAAGCGGUGUGCUGGACCUCUUCUGACGCUGAGGCGCGAAAGCCAGGGGAGCAAACGGGAUUAGAUACCCCGGUAGUCCUGGCCCUAAACGAUGGGUACUAGGUUGUAGACUGCAUGGGUUUACAGCCGGAGCAAAAGUGUUAAGUACCCCGCCUGGGGAGUAUGGUCGCAAGGCUG